GAUGAACGCUGGCGGCGUGCCUAAUACAUGCAAGUCGAGCGAACAGACGAGGAGCUUGCUCCUCUGACGUUAGCGGCGGACGGGUGAGUAACACGUGGAUAACCUACCUAUAAGACUGGGAUAACUUCGGGAAACCGGAGCUAAUACCGGAUAAUAUAUUGAACCGCAUGGUUCAAUAGUGAAAGACGGUUUUGCUGUCACUUAUAGAUGGAUCCGCGCCGCAUUAGCUAGUUGGUAAGGUAACGGCUUACCAAGGCAACGAUGCGUAGCCGAACUGAGAGGUGGAUCGGCCACACUGUAACUGAGACACGGUCCAGACUCCUACGGGAGGCAGCAGUAGGGAAUCUUCCGCAAUGGGCGAAAGCCUGACGGAGCAACGCCGCGUAAGUGAUGAAGGUCUUCGGAUCGUAAAACUCUGUUAUUAGGGAAGAACAAAUGUGUAAGUAACUAUGCACGUCUUGACGGUACCUAAUCAGAAAGCCACGGCUAACUACGUG
rnacentral:rRNA from 1 species